GGGUCAAAGCCUUAGUUUUUUAAAUUAUGCUCAUUUCUUGUGUUCUAGUGCAAAUUCUUAUCAUGAACUUAAUUUUAUACACCAUCUUGGAAGAAUUGUUUUUAUGUAGAGCUUAGUUACAAAUCUUUUUUUUCUCGAAUUGUAAUUCCAAUUUCGUUUUAUUUUCCCAAUCUGCUCCGACUAGGCCACUAAUAAUGCCAUUCUUUGACAAUUUCAUGUAAGAAUUCGUGGUAAAACUUUUGUUGCAGUAAUAAACUUCGACAAUUUGCGAUUCUUUGAUUUUAGUUUAUUCAUCUUUCUAAUCUAAGUAGGAAAUUGGGAUUAAUC
rnacentral:misc_RNA from 1 species